AGGCUUCCAGACCAAAAAUCAAACACGUGGGGUGCAUACACAGAUCCAACUCUGUCUUGUCGGAAGCAUAUAAAUAUAUAUAUAUAAAAGAAAGUGCGGUGUGAGAAGGUGUACUUGUUACUUGUGUUAGGGAAGGAAGGGAGGGAAGGGAAGGGAAGGGAAGGGAAGGAUUAGUGUUUAGGCAAUGCAAUACAAAAGCUAUUUGGCUAUUUGCUAUGUAUGUAUGUAUGUGUUGGUCCAAGAACCAAGAAGAAGAAGAAGAACAAAGACCAAGUUGAAGUGUUCAAGUUUUGUUUUUGCUUUGUCCUUUUUAUUUUUUGUUUGUGUGAGAUGAGAUGAGUACUUUUGGUUUGGGUUCCUUCCUUACUCACUUUUAUUGCAAGCAAGCCUCUUCCCAAAAUUUCUCAUCUACAUCUACUCUUCUAUUAUUACCAUCAUCACUCUUCACCUAAUUACUCUUUUCUUUUCCCCCUCUCUCUCUCUACUUUUUCACUCUUAAGGCACCAUCUUUUUACUUUGCUACCUUAAUACCAUCAACCAUCUCAGAGUUCUAGUUGUCUUGUUUCCAAGGAGCAAAAAGGUUGUUAUAUGAGCCAAUUUAUGUUAGUUGGUAAAGGGAAAUACUGUUGAUUAAUUAAUGCUAUAUGAACUCAUUAAGAAAAAUGUAAACAUUAUUGUUCUUAAGAGAUACUAUUUCUUUAUUUAUUGAUUAGUACUAGCAUUUUGAUAAUGUAACAAUUAAGAAUUAACACAAAUUUAAUGGACAGUGAAAGUUAGAUGAAGUGAAGUGGUGCCUUCCAUUCUCUCACCGGUCCUUCCACUCUUGUAUUUUUCUUUUCUUACCUUACAUACAUUGGUUCCUUCCAUGUGUCUAUUUUCCGUAUGUACUACAUAUAUUUAUUUAUUUUUAUCUCAAAUUAUUUUAAUAUAUAUAUUUUAUUCGAACAUAAUUUUAUAUAUACACGUAAUAAUAAAAAGAAAAAAGCAAAAGUUUUCUUGUAUGUAUGUAUGUAUGUAUGUAUGUAUGCAUGUGUGAUCACAUUACAUAUUCACAUGUGCCCCCUCACCCACCACUUGCUGCCACCCCUUUAGCUGACAGCAACCACACGUGAUGGGCCGGAAGAGGGCCGGGCCCAGCGGCCCAAAG
rnacentral:lncRNA from 1 species